GACGAACGCUGGCGGCGUGCUUAACACAUGCAAGUCGAACGGAAAGGCCCUGCUUUUGUGGGGUGCUCGAGUGGCGAACGGGUGAGUAACACGUGAGUAACCUGCCCUUGACUUUGGGAUAACUUCAGGAAACUGGGGCUAAUACCGGAUAGGAGCUCCUGCUGCAUUGUGGGGGUUGGAAAGUUUCGGCGGUUGGGGAUGGACUCGCGGCUUACCAGCUUGUUGGUGGGGUAGUGGCUUACCAAGGCUUUGACGGGUAGCCGGCCUGAGAGGGUGACCGGCCACAUUGGGACUGAGAUACGGCCCAGACUCCUACGGGAGGCAGCAGUGGGGAAUAUUGCACAAUGGGUGGAAGCCUGAUGCAGCAACGCCGCGUGCGGGAUGACGGCCUUCGGGUUGUAAACCGCUUUCGCCUGUGACGAAGCGUGAGUGACGGUAAUGGGUAAAGAAGCACCGGCUAACUACGUG
rnacentral:rRNA from 1 species